CCUACGGGUGGCAGCAGUGAGGAAUAUUGGUCAAUGGACGGGAGUCUGAACCAGCCAAGUCGCGUGAAGGAUGACUGCCCUAUGGGUUGUAAACUUCUUUUAUAUGGGGAUAAAAUGCCCCACGUGUGGGGUCUUGUAUGUACAAUACGAAUAAGGAUCGGCUAACUCCGUGCCAGCAGCCGCGGUAAUACGGAGGAUCCAAGCGUUAUCCGGAUUUAUUGGGUUUAAAGGGUGCGUAGGCGGUUUGUUAAGUUAGAGGUGAAAUUCCGGGGCUCAACCCCAGAAUUGCAGUUGAGACUGGCGGUCUUGAGAGCAGUAGAGGUAGGCGGAAUGCGUGGUGUAGCGGUGAAAUGCUUAGAGAUCACGAAGAACCCCGAUUGCGAAGGCAGUUCACCGGACUGCAACUGACGCUGAGGCACGAAAGCGUGGGUAUCAAACAGGAUUAGAUACCCGGGUAGUC
rnacentral:rRNA from 1 species